UCAACGUGGCUAUCCUGUGAGGUUGCUCUUGCAAGGCUCUGGCCGUGUGGCGUAUGGAAGCUCAGCACUCCGGUGCGGUGAUGUACAGUUCCGUUCCACGACGUUGUAUAGCAAGCCGACUCCCCGGCCACUCGUGACUGGUGUGGAGAGGCCGUCCUGCAUAUUCCUACACCUUCCCAGAGCCCAUGGGCAGUUACUGGGGAGGAAAACCAUGCAGUGCACAUAA